GACGAACGCUGGCGGCGUGCCUAAUACAUGCAAGUUGAGCGCUGAAGGUUGGUACUUGUACCAACUGGAUGAGCAGCGAACGGGUGAGUAACGCGUGGGGAAUCUGCCUUUGAGCGGGGGACAACAUUUGGAAACGAAUGCUAAUACCGCAUAAAAACUUUAAACACAAGUUUUAAGUUUGAAAGAUGCAAUUGCAUCACUCAAAGAUGAUCCCGCGUUGUAUUAGCUAGUUGGUGAGGUAAAGGCUCACCAAGGCGAUGAUACAUAGCCGACCUGAGAGGGUGAUCGGCCAAAUUGGGACUGAGACACGGCCCAAACUCCUACGGGAGGCAGCAGUAGGGAAUCUUCGGCAAUGGACGAAAGUCUGACCGAGCAACGCCGCGUGAGUGAAGAAGGUUUUCGGAUCGUAAAACUCUGUUGGUGGAGAAGAACGUUGGUGAGAGUGGAAAGCUCAUCAAGUGACGGUAACUACCCAGAAAGGGACGGCUAACUACGUG
rnacentral:rRNA from 1 species